rnacentral:rRNA from 1 species
UGCAAGUCGAACGGCAGCACGGGGGCAACCCUGGUGGCGAGUGGCGAACGGGUGAGUAAUACAUCGGAACGUGCCCAUGUCGUGGGGGAUAACGUAGCGAAAGCUACGCUAAUACCGCAUACGAUCUACGGAUGAAAGCGGGGGACCGCAAGGCCUCGCGCGAUUGGAGCGGCCGAUGGCAGAUUAGGUAGUUGGUGGGGUAAAGGCUCACCAAGCCUGCGAUCUGUAGCUGGUCUGAGAGGACGACCAGCCACACUGGGACUGAGACACGGCCCAGACUCCUACGGGAGGCAGCAGUGGGGAAUUUUGGACAAUGGGCGCAAGCCUGAUCCAGCCAUUUCGCGUGCAGGAUGAAGGCCUUCGGGUUGUAAACUGCUUUUGUACGGAACGAAAAGGCUCUCUCUAAUACGGGGGGCAGAUGGCGGUACCGUAAGAAUAAGCACCGGCUAACUACGUGCCAGCAGCCGCGGUAAUACGUAGGGUGCAAGCGUUAAUCGGAAUUACUGGGCGUAAAGCGUGCGCAGGCGGUGAUGUAAGACAGGCGUGAAAUCCCCGGGCUUAACCUGGGAACUGCGCUUGUGACUGCAUUGCUGGAGUGCGGCAGAGGGGGAUGGAAUUCCGCGUGUAGCAGUGAAAUGCGUAGAUAUGCGGAGGAACACCGAUGGCGAAGGCAAUCCCCUGGGCCUGCACUGACGCUCAU